UACGAAGGGGGCUAGCGUUGCUCGGAAUUACUGGGCGUAAAGGGCGCGUAGGCGGACAGUUUAGUCAGAGGUUAAAGCCCAGGGCUCAACCUUGGAAUCGCCUUUGAUACUGGCUGUCUUGAGUACGGGAGAGGUGUGUGGAACUCCGAGUGUAGAGGUGAAAUUCGUAGAUAUUCGGAAGAACACCAGUGGCGAAGGCGACACACUGGCCCGUUACUGACGCUGAGGCGCGAAAGCGUGGGGAGCAAACAGG
rnacentral:rRNA from 1 species